rnacentral:rRNA from 1 species
UACGAAGGGGGCGAGCGUUGUUCGGAUUUACUGGGCGUAAAGGGCGCGUAGGCGGCGCGAGAAGUCGAGUGUGAAAGCCCCGGGCUCAACCUGGGAAUUGCGCUCGAUACUCUUGUGCUUGAGUUCGGGAGAGGAGCGUGGAAUUCCCAGUGUAGAGGUGAAAUUCGUAGAUAUUGGGAAGAACACCGGUGGCGAAGGCGGCGCUCUGGACCGAGACUGACGCUGAGGCGCGAAAGCAUGGGGAGCGAACAGG